rnacentral:rRNA from 1 species
UACGUAGGAGACGAGCGUUGUCCGGAGUUACUGGGCGUAAAGGGUGCGCAGGUGGCGGCGCGCGUGGGGGGUGAAAUCGCCCGGCUUAACUGGGCGGGGGCCUUCCAGACGGCGUGGCUUGAGCAGCGGAGGGGGACGUGGAAUUCCGGGUGGAGCGGUGAAAUGCGUAGAUAUCAGGAGGAACACCAAUGGCGAAGGCAGAUCUCUGGGCCGUAACUGACGCUGAGGAGCGAAAGCAUGGGGAGCGAACAGG